UGGCGAUGAAACAGUAGACUGGUUCGGUAUCAGCCGACUGUGGAGCCCGACCGUGGGUUGAGCGGAAACCACAAGCCGAAUAGAUUCGAUGAAUCGAAAGAAAACGCUUAAU
rfam:Faecalibacterium prausnitzii SL3/3 draft genome.